AACGUGGGUAACCUGCCCAUCAGAGGGGGGUAACAUCCGGAAACGGAUGCUAAAACCGCAUAGGUCUUCGAACCGCAUGGUUUGAAGAGGAAAAGAGGCGCAAGCUUCUGCUGAUGGAUGGACCCGCGGUGCAUUAGCUAGUUGGUGAGGUAACGGCUCACCAAGGCCGUGAUGCAUAGCCGACCUGAGAGGGUGAUCGGCCACAUUGGGACUGAGACACGGCCCAA
rnacentral:rRNA from 1 species